UACGUAGGGCGCAAGCGUUGUCCGGAAUUAUUGGGCGUAAAGAGCUCGUAGGCGGUUUGUCGCGUCUGCUGUGAAAGCCCGGGGCUCAACCCCGGGUCUGCAGUGGGUACGGGCAGACUAGAGUGCAGUAGGGGAGACUGGAAUUCCUGGUGUAGCGGUGAAAUGCGCAGAUAUCAGGAGGAACACCGAUGGCGAAGGCAGGUCUCUGGGCUGUAACUGACGCUGAGGAGCGAAAGCAUGGGGGAGCGAACAGGA
rnacentral:rRNA from 1 species